CAAAAAACAUUGUGUGAAAUAUUCAGUUCACAUUCAUUGCUCAUUGGUUCGAGAGCAACGAAUGGAGAAUACACAAAAUAAAUUUUUUUUUGUUUGACAUUUUAAAAUGGCUUCUCAGUUUGCUCACCUGGGAACGCCACUACCACCACAGUACAAUUAAGUAUAAUAAAGCUCGGUUUCCUUAAUGGAAAACACUACCCUACACUCCUAUUCAUGGCUACAUUUGUUUAAUCGUUUCUUUAACAUGGCCUACUUAUACACAAAUCGUUGGAUGAAAUCAGGGCAACCUGCUCGCAUCCAACAGCGCACUACUGAAGUCACCAAAGGCUACAUCGGGAUGGACACCCAGCGGAGUACCGCACCUCUUGCGGUACCGAGUCUGGUAUUUUCGUUAUCUCCCUCAUAGAGGACUACAUCUUCCUUUGCGGCUGGCCCGCAAUGCUAGAGGAUACAAUAA